rnacentral:lncRNA from 1 species
GCUAGUAGGGAACUUCAAUUUCAAAUGAUAGAUUGACACCACGGCCCGGAGAGCAUUGAGGUCGGAUCGGUCGAGUAUAGCGUUGUAGGCUUUCACCAAAACCCUAGAUUGUCUUGGAUAUCGACCCACAACCACAGUCACGGUCGCCGCCGGGACCUGCAAAGAAAGUCUAAACCGAAAUUGGAGUUGCUCUGGCAAGAUCCUC